GCCCCUUUAGCUCAGUGGAUUAGAGCGUUUGGUUGCGGACCAACAGGCCGUGCGUUCGAAUCGCACAAGGGGCACCA
rnacentral:tRNA from 2 species